GCCGCCGUAGCUCAGUGGUAGAGCACACCCUUGGUAAGGGUGAGGUCACGGGUUCGAGUCCCGUUGGCGGCU
rnacentral:tRNA from 1 species